rnacentral:rRNA from 1 species
UAGGGAAUCUUCCACAAUGGACGAAAGUACUGAUGGAGCAACGCCGCGUGAGUGAAGAAGGUUUCGGCUCGUAAACUCUGUUGUUAAAGAAGAACAUAUCUGAGAGUAACUGUUCAGGUAUUGACGGUAUUUAACCAGAAAGCCACGGCUAACUACGUGCCAG